AUCACAACUUCACUUUUGUUCAUUUUGUGGAGGUUUUUUGUUUGGCUGGCUUUUUAAAAUUGAAGUAUAGUUGAUUUCCAAGUUAUUGGGCUUCGCUGGUGUCUCAGCUGGUAAAGAAUCCACCCGCAAUGCAGGAGACCUGGGUUCAAUCCCUGGGUUGGGAAGAUCCCCUGGAGAAGAAAGGCUACCCACUCCAUAUUCUGGCCUGGAGAAUUCCAUGGACUGUAUAGUCCAUGGGGUCGCAAAGAGUCAGACACGACUGAGCGACUUUCACUUUCACAUGUACAGCAAAGUGUAUAAUCGAUUCAUGAGGAGGGCGUGGCAACCCACUCCAGUAUUCUUGCCUGGAGAAUCCCACGGACAGAGGAGCCUGGAGGGCUACACAAUCCAGGGGGUCGCAAGGAGUCGGACAUGAAUGAAGCAACUUAGCACAGCACAGCACAGCACAGUUGAUUCACCAUGCUACGUUAGUUUCAGGUAAAAAAAAAGUUAAAGGAUCCAGCUGCAUUUUGCCAUGUGCCCCAGGACCCAGGGAGCGGUGGCCCUCUGCUGUUUCAUAACCUCUCUGGGGACCGGCUCCAAGGACAAUGGGCUUCCUCAGAUCAAGGUGACCUCCCGACCGAAUGUUUUCCUCCGCCGCGGCUCCCCGGCUCCCUUGCCUGCUGGCCUGACGCAACUUCUCUUAUUUGUGCACGAGCGAUUGAUAAGUGAAUGUCCUUCUGGACACAGCUAAUCUCUCCAUCAGUCCCCAAUCACUUGAAAUUACAAUGGUUAAUUAUACCUUGGGUUUGGGG
rnacentral:lncRNA from 1 species